GCCCAGGUGGUGGAAUUGGUAGACACGCAGCGUUCAGGGCGCUGUGCUCUCCGGAGCGUGGAGGUUCAAAUCCUCUCCUGGGCACCA
rnacentral:tRNA from 1 species